rnacentral:lncRNA from 1 species
AUGUAAGUUUUAGCUGUUGUUCUAGUUUCACUUAUUAGUGCUAUAUCAAUGCCUUCAGUAUUUAAAAAUACCUCAAGUUCAAGCUGACGUUCUCUCAUCCCAUUGGCGUUCCAUGUAACUAUUCGCAGAUUACCUAUUUUACUUGGUUGGUUACAAGAGCCUUGAAAAGUUGGACCAUUCGAUCCAUCAUGUUGUCCAUCAUUUUAGUCAUGACUUGCUGAAAUUUGUAAAACAUAGUGUCUAACAUUUUUCCUAGGCUGUCUGUUUCAUAUGAAACAGUAUUGGUUGGUCUUGCAUUUGGUUUUCUUGUGAAUUCGUGAUCCCGUUUUACAGCUUCAGCAUAGCUGUCGGGGUUAGUAGAGGUAUUGUAAUAGUUUGGCGAAGCUGGUCUUUCUUUUCGAUUUUCUUGUUGUAGUGGAUUUAUUUUGGCUUUUACAUUAAAUAUUUUAUCCCUAUACUGUUUAUAUUGGAUACAGCCUCUGUAACUUGCAGGAUGCUUUUCUUGACAGUUUGCACAUGUGGCUUCUAUUCUUAUUCUUCUCCUUUAACGAUAUUGGAAAUAAAAGAAUACUUUUU